GGAAGUAUGGCUGAGUGGUCGAAAGCGGCACGUUGCUAGCGUGUUGGACUCUUUGGGUCCCGGAGGUUCGAAUCCUUCUGCUUCCG
rnacentral:tRNA from 1 species